rnacentral:lncRNA from 1 species
UUUGUGUGUGUUCUGGUCGUACAAAACACAGGAGCCAAGAAGGGCUCUCAAGCUCAAACCCUAACAAGCAUAAAAUCAACAAAUUGAAGGGGUAAAUCCAACCUAAAUCGAAAUCCAAGCACGAAUUCAUGAUCACCUCGAUGAAGGGAUCAUAAGUUUGACUCUUGACAAGCUAGAUGGAGGCUUGGGGAAAGAAGCGGGUUAAACGGAUCGUAUACACGGAAAAGAGCAUAAUCCGGAUACUAGGAAUAAAUAUCGAUUGAAUGUUGACAUCGCUAUUACUUAGCGGCUACUAAGGCAAGGUAUCGAAACGGGUCAAUAUAUUGAUCCGAGCCAGGUUUGUAUAAUGAUUCAACUCGUCAUGUAGAACUUGAGGUUCUAUAAGUGUUAGACAAGGAUAAAAUAUAGAUAUUCGGUUAUCAUUAAGGUAAACCGAAUAAAUUGGGUCAUGAUUAUGGUAUUUUAGAAAUAUAAUGGUUUCUAAACAAGAUUAUAGUUUUAAAAGUGGGAUUUUGGUCGAACAUGGCUUUAAAGGUCCUUCGUCGUAAUAGGAGGGGUAAAAGUGACCAAAAUGCCCUUAUAAGUGAAAUUAAGCAAACGAUCCCUAAAGGUUGCUUAGAAAUGAGUUUUGUAACCAAAUAGAUACUUGUAUUAAGUAUAAAAAGUGAAAUAUGUGAAUCUUUGGGUCAAAUGACUCUAUAUGAGUCUUUGCCGUAAAAUGAUAAUCCGAUGGGUAAAACUCGGAAUAAAUAGAUCUCCACAUUAAAUCCUCCACACAUAUAGUUGUGGUGGAAGAUAAAUUGAUAAAUAAUAUGGAAGUACAAUGCUAGAAGUGAAUGG